GAACUACUUCCACAACCCAUAGGAGGAAAUUGGUCAGACCAAUUGAUGUACCAAGACACUAAAAUUAUUGGCAUACUGCUAAGGUUACAGAAUCAAUGUCUUUUCGCACCACAAAGCACGAGGACUUCUAAAUAACUGCCAGGAGAAUACGCAUAUUUAAAGGGACAUUUGUGUUUUUUUUUCAUUUCAGAUAUCUUUCAAAGAAGACAUUUUAUUGUAUGUCUAUAUGUUUUACCAAGAUAUACACGAACCACCAAGAGACCACUACCGAAUUAAAGGAUAUGUGCAAGUCUUGCACGAGAUUUGGCAGAAAAUAUCAACUCAAAACCAACUAGCACCACUUCUACCUGAACUACCGCCUACAACUGAAUUGGGUGAUAUGACAUAAUCGAAAGGAAAAUUAACUGUGAGAUAAGACUUUCUAUUAUUAUAGCAUUAUUUAGUUAAUAUCAGGUUAGGGGACGUUUUGACAUUAAAAUCUUCGGUCGUACCUUUUUUGGGGUUGUUCGCGUACUUUUAUUCAGAGCUCAAAAGGGUGGCGUCAUGAAAGAACCUCUCUUAUAUUUUUCGCGCUUUUCUUUACAUUAAUUAAUUAUCAUUUGUCCUUAAACUUCAUAGGCUGGGAACCUAUGAAGUUUUUUUCCAAGUGUUUACAUGGUGGAUCUGGGGGGUACAUCAUGUAAAUGCUCUUUUUUUUAUAAAUUUACAAU